rnacentral:rRNA from 1 species
CGCUAAUACCGCAUACGUCCUACGGGAGAAAGCAGGGGACCUUCGGGCCUUGCGCUAUCAGAUGAGCCUAGGUCGGAUUAGCUAGUUGGUGAGGUAAUGGCUCACCAAGGCGACGAUCCGUAACUGGUCUGAGAGGAUGAUCAGUCACACUGGAACUGAGACACGGUCCAGACUCCUACGGGAGGCAGCAGUGGGGAAUAUUGGACAAUGGGCGAAAGCCUGAUCCUGCCAUGCCGCGUGUGUGAAGAAGGUCUUCGGAUUGUAAAGCACUUUAAGUUGGGAGGAAGGGUUGUAGAUUAAUACUCUGCAAUUUUGACGUUACCGACAGAAUAAGCACCGGCUAACUCUGUGCCAGCAGCCGCGGUAAUACAGAGGGUGCAAGCGUUAAUCGGAAUUACUGGGCGUAAAGCGCGCGUAGGUGGUUUGUUAAGUUGGAUGUGAAAUCCCCGGGCUCAACCUGGGAACUGCAUUCAAAACUGACUGACUAGAGUAUGGUAGAGGGUGGUGGAAUUUCCUGUGUAGCGGUGAAAUGCGUAGAUAUAGGAAGGAACACCAGUGGCGAAGGCGACCACCUGGACUAAUACUGACACUGAGGUGCGAAAGCGUGGGGAGCAAAC